AUGGGGCCCCCUGUCUCUGUUCUCUGUCACCCUGUCAUUCAGAUGAAGAAAGAAGGGUCCUGGAUUUGCCUAAAGACUUGUGAUUCUAUGAAGACUGAUAUAUGGACCACAUUAAUUACCUGGGGACCUAAGUGCAACUUAAACUUAAGUACAGGUCGAAAGCAAUGGGUCUCCUCUCAUUUGGCAACAAAAGGACACGGCAUGGUUAUCUGUGUUAGAUGUUUGGAGGGGGAGAUGAACACACCAAACCAAAGGGCCUGGGAAGAUAAGUUUCCAUGACAUUUGCUAUAACUCUUUUAUAUUACCAUCUGGCUAUUCUAUAUGUAGCAUUCAGAAGCGAAAAUAAAAAAAAAAUGAUAUAAAGCUGAAAUUAUUUC
rnacentral:lncRNA from 1 species